rnacentral:rRNA from 1 species
CCUACGGGAGGCAGCAGUGGGGAAUAUUGCACAAUGGGGGAAACCCUGAUGCAGCGACGCCGCGUGAGUGAAGAAGGAUUUCGGGAUGUAAAGCUCUAUCAGCAGGGAAGAGAAUGACGGUACCUGACUAAGAAGCCCCGGCUAACUACGUGCCAGCAGCCGCGGUAAUACGGAGGGGGCACGCGUUAUCCGGAUUUACUGGGUGUAAAGGGGGCGUAGGUGGCAGGGCAAGUCAGAUGGGAAAGCCCGGGGCUCAACCCCGGGACUGCAUUUGAAACUGUCCAGCUGGAGUGCAGGAGAGGUAAGCGGAAUUCCUAGUGUAGCGGUGACAUGCGUAGAUAUUAGGAGGAACACCAGUGGCGAAGGCGGCUUACUGGACUGUAACUGACACUGAGGCACGAACGCGUGGGGAGCAAACAGGAUUAGAUACCCUUGUAGUC